ACAUCAAUAUGAUACAAUCAAUAUGGAACAAAGUCAAUGUCUAAUUAGUUGGGCAGCUCGAAGCUUAGGAGGAAACAAUGCUCCAAACAUCAAGAGUGCCUUGAGUCGCUCUUUCUGGACCUGAAAGAGAAGGAAUUGAGAUUAAUGGAUGAUUCUACAAACAACAGCUAAGUCUUCUAUACUGACAUGAACAUAAACAAGUAAAUUUUUUCUUCAAAAGAAAAUCUGUCAUCAUAAGAUUAGAGUUGCAACACAGCGACAGUUGUAAAUUCACAUUGUUCAGUACUAAGGAUUGGUAGUAACAUGGACACUUACUUGGUGAUGAACAG